CAUUUUAGGAGAUCGCUAGCUUUAUACCUUAUAAAAGGAUCAAGUCUUGUUCUUUCUAUUUAUUACAGAAAAAGAGGUGGAAAACAUGAAUACAAUUCUGAAAUUUAUUUUCGUUGUGUUCCUCUUUCUUUCCAUAUUUCUUAGUGCAGGGAACAGUAAAAGUUAUGGUCCAUGUACUACUCUCCAAGAUUGUGAAACGCAUAAUUGGUUUGAAGUUUGUUCGUGUAUUGAUUUCGAGUGUAAAUGUUGGUCUCUUUUGUGAGCCGUCACAUAAAUGUUUUUUCUCUUUUAUCCAUCAAACAAAGUUGAUUUAGGGUCAAUUUUUGACAACAAAUCACUUUUAUAGAUCGUUUUUCUUCUUCCCUUUUAUUUAAAUUAGUGAUUUUCACACUA